rnacentral:rRNA from 1 species
GAUGAACGCUGGCGGCGUGCCUAAUACAUGCAAGUCGAGCGAACAGACGAGGAGCUUGCUCCUCUGACGUUAGCGGCGGACGGGUGAGUAACACGUGGAUAACCUACCUAUAAGACUGGGAUAACUUCGGGAAACCGGAGCUAAUACCGGAUAAUAUAUUGAACCGCAUGGUUCAAUAGUGAAAGACGGUUUUGCUGUCACUUAUAGUUGGAUCCGCGCCGCAUUAGCUAGUUGGUAAGGUAACGGCUUACCAAGGCAACGAUGCGUAGCCGACCUGAGAGGGUGAUCGGCCACACUGGAACUGAGACGCGGUCCAGACUCCUACGGGAGGCAGCAGUAGGGAAUCUUCCGCAAUGGGCGAAAGCCUGACGGAGCAACGCCGCGUGAGUGAUGAAGGUCUUCGGAUCGUAAAACUCUGUUAUUAGGGAAGAACAAAUGUGUAAGUAACUAUGCACGUCUUGACGGUACCUAAUCAGAAAGCCACGGCUAACUACGUG